rnacentral:rRNA from 1 species
UACGGAGGGUCCAAGCGUUGUCCGGAUUUAUUGGGUUUAAAGGGUACGUAGGCGGGAUUUUAAGUCAGUGGUGAAAGCCUCCAGCUCAACUGGAGAACUGCCAUUGAAACUGAGAUUCUUGAAUAUGGAUGAGGUGGUUGGAAUAUAACAUGUAGCGGUGAAAUGCUUAGAUAUGUUAUAGAACACCAAUUGCGAAGGCAGAUCACUAAACCAUUAUUGACGCUGAGGUACGAAAGCGUGGGGAGCGAACAGG